UACGAAGGGGGCUAGCGUUGCUCGGAAUCACUGGGCGUAAAGGGUGCGUAGGUGGUUCUUUAAGUCAGAGGUGAAAUCCUGGAGCUCAACUCCAGAACUGCCUUUGAUACUGAGGAUCUUGAGUUCGGGAGAGGUGAGUGGAACUGCGAGUGUAGAGGUGAAAUUCGUAGAUAUUCGCAAGAACACCAGUGGCGAAGGCGGCUCACUGGCCCGAUACUGACACUGAGGCACGAAAGCGUGGGGAGCAAACAGG
rnacentral:rRNA from 1 species